CAUCAUCAUCAUCAUCGUGAGGCUCUCCUUCACUGGCCACAUUCAUUUCAGAGUACAUGCUCACUGGGUUUUGGCAUACUUCAUCAGCAAAGGCACUCAAACUCAACUCUGGUUUCUCAGAAUCAUCAACAGAAGCUUGUAGUGGAGCAAAUCACAACUUGAAUCAUCAACAGAAGCUUGUGGUGGAGCAGUAAGGUCCAGUUCCAGAUCAGAUUCCCCGUGCUGCUGCUCAUUCUCCAGUUUCAAACCCUCAUUCCAAUUUUUGGUAUUUGACAUUAUAACUGAAGAAACACCAGCAAAACUAUUCAUCAUCAGAAACCACAAAACUGUAAACAGCCAAGUACAACAGGCCCAGAAGGAAAAGAUUGAAUGUUUGUUUACCUUUUUUUACUGUGCUUUCAUCAUUCAAAUGCACUGAUGUUUUCAGGAUUUCACUCAGAAGUUUAUUUGAUCCAUCCAUUUUCUCACAAUCCACUUCUGAAUUUUUCUGCAGCUCAGCUUCUGCAUAUUGAAGAUGGAAACACAACUGUUAAUCAUCAAUCAAGAUCAAACCAUUUCAAUAUUGGUUUUGAAUUGAGAAAAAUUACUGAGUACUUGCCUGUGUUGUCCUGCUCAUCAUGAGCUUCAUCUUUUUCCUCGGAAACUUCAAGAAAAUCUGAAUUAUUGGGUUUGGCAGAUUCCCCAGUAUUCUCUUCAACUUCAGCUUUUGAAUCAUUUCCACUCAGGACAGACUUUGAAAUGACCUCUGAAUCAUCGGUUAUCUUUGAAUUAUCUUCUGAUAUUGUCUGCGAAUCAGCUCCUGCAUAGUGAUCAAUGUUAGAAGACAACGAAAUCUUAAAUCGUAGCAUGUUUAUUUAGCUCCUGAGAAAAUGUGGUUAAUGCUAGAA